rnacentral:rRNA from 1 species
AGUGAACGCUGGCGGUAGGCCUAACACAUGCAAGUCGAACGGCAGCACAGUAAGAGCUUGCUCUUACGGGUGGCGAGUGGCGGACGGGUGAGGAAUACAUCGGAAUCUACUUUUUCGUGGGGGAUAACGUAGGGAAACUUACGCUAAUACCGCAUACGACCUACGGGUGAAAGCAGGGGAUCUUCGGACCUUGCGCGAUUGAAUGAGCCGAUGUCGGAUUAGCUAGUUGGCGGGGUAAAGGCCCACCAAGGCGACGAUCCGUAGCUGGUCUGAGAGGAUGAUCAGCCACACUGGAGCUGAGACACGGUCCAGACUCCUACGGGAGGCAGCAGUGGGGAAUAUUGGACAAUGGGCGCAAGCCUGAUCCAGCCAUACCGCGUGGGUGAAGAAGGCCUUCAGGUUGUAAAGCCCUUUUGUUGGGAAAGAAAAGCAGCAGGUUAAUACCCCGCUGUUCUGACGGUACCCAAAGAAUAAGCACCGGCUAACUUCGUG